rnacentral:lncRNA from 1 species
GCCACAAGCAGUGGCCAUCAGAUAAAUGACCAUCAUUGAGCCCAAGUGCCUGUUCCACCACACCUGGAACGAGUUACGGAUCCCAAUUACUCCAGCCAAGACCAGAGCGGUGCGUUUGGGAGAGGAAUUCCCACAUGGCAACGUGUUUCAUGACUCACGAAACAUCUGAUACCGGAACGUAGAGGUCGCCUUUGUCUUUUUCAGUGGUUGCAACAAGGAUCCUUAAGAGACGGGACCAGCCAUCAGCUGUAGAAGAUUUUCAUUGUGGGAAAUGAAAGGAGCCUGGAGCAUCUCCCUGAUGAGGAAAGGCUGAGGGACUUGGGGCUUUUGAGUGUGGAGAAAAGAAGACUCAGGGGGGACCUGAUCAAGGCCUAUAA